rnacentral:misc_RNA from 1 species
AUCCCAAGCUUCACAAUCCUCGACUCGCGAAUAACGACCUGCUGAGACCUCCACAUCUAAAUUGCAUACUUUUGUUCUCAUAAGAUCAAUUGCGUGCUCAGCUCCAUUUGAAUUCUUGUAGGUAACAUACGCAAUUUGACUCUCAUAAGCACUUUCCAUUUCAACAGAUUCUAUUUCCCCGCAACAGGAAAACGACUUCCUGACAUCAACCUCAGAAGCAUGCGGCGGAACCCCAAAGACCAUUACUGUCCUUGCCAGAGAUGAUGAAUCCUUCUUUGAUGAUUCAAGAUCGGGAUUCAACAUCUUUUUAAGCUCCGCUUCCAGGUCAAAAUACAAUCUUGGACAUAAAUUUGUCAACUUUUCAAGCUCCACUUCCGGGUCCUGAUCCAUAGUAUAUUGUGCUUGCCGUGUUCGAAAGACGAUAUCGUAAAUCACAUCUGUUG